rnacentral:rRNA from 1 species
UGGGGAAUCUUGCACAAUGGGCGCAAGCCUGAUGCAGCGACGCCGCGUGGGGGAUGAAUGCCUUCGGGUUGUAAACCCCUUUCGGCAGGGACGAAGCGAAAGUGACGGUACCUGCAGAAGAAGUCCCGGCUAACUACGUGCCAGCAGCCGCGGUAAGACGUAGGGGACGAGCGUUGUCCGGAUUUAUUGGGCGUAAAGCGCGCGCAGGCGGCCACGUAAGUCGGAUGUGAAAUCCCGGGGCUCAACCCCGGAACUGCAUUCGAUACUGCGUGGCUCGAGGUAGGUAGGGGAGAUCGGAAUUCCUGGUGUAGCGGUGGAAUGCGCAGAUAUCAGGAGGAACACCGGUGGCGAAGGCGGAUCUCUGGGCCUUACCUGACGCUCAGGCGCGAAAGCUAGGGGAGCGAACAGG